UGAGCAGCUCAAUACAUUUCAGAGACUCGGU
rnacentral:piRNA from 1 species